GGCUGUAAAUAUCACCACAUGUCUUCUCUGCAGACUCUGACGGGGCCUGACUACGUAGGUGCGGCAGAGGAAGCCACAACCACAGCGCGCAGCCUCCACGUGCUAGUAGGUGCACUAAGGCCUCACUCUGGCUGCCCUGGCCACCCUCCCUGCUCCACCCAAGACCAUCAGAGAGUACCCAGCCCACUGCUCAUCCAUGUACCCUCUGCUGCCAUAUAAGCCCUGAGGCAGAAUCUGCUCACGGUGGAGGCGGGCUGGCGAUGGGUCACCAACCCAGGGCUUUGGCUGCAAGCAGCCCCGCAAGCAGCAGGUGUUAACAGGACAAAAUCAAGCAUCUAAAAUCACACAGCUGGUCCACGGGGGAGCUGAGAUUGGAAACCAGAACCAAGGACUGCAAAGCUCCUUCCACCACAGUCCUGGUUCCUCCCACCCCACCAUAGCCUGAGGGUUAAAAUCUGACAUGUUCUAAGCA